GAUGUACGCUGGCGGCGCGCCUAACACAUGCAAGUCGAACGAUUAAAGCACCUUCGGGUGUGUAUAAAGUGGCGAACGGCUGAGUAACACGUGGGCAACCUGCCCCUUUCAUUGGGAUAGCCACGGGAAACCGUGGAUAAUACCGAAUACUUCGAGACUUCCGCAUGGAAGACUCGAGAAAGCUCCGGCGGAGAGGGAUGGGCCCGCGGCCUGUUAGCUUGUUGGUGGGGUAACGGCCUACCAAGGCAAUGAUGGGUAGCUGGGUUGAGAGACCGACCAGCCAGAUUGGGACUGAGACACGGCCCAGACUCCUACGGGAGGCAGCAGUGGGGAAUCUUGCACAAUGGGCGAAAGCCUGAUGCAGCGACGCCGCGUGCGGGAUGAAGGCCUUCGGGUUGUAAACCGCUUUCAGCAGGGACGAGGCGAAAGUGACGGUACCUGCAGAAGAAGCCCCGGCUAACUACGUG
rnacentral:rRNA from 1 species